CCAAAAUGGAUUGCAAUGAAUAGGUGCCUUAGCAUUUAUCAGAUUUGGUCCUCCACUACAUUGUAUCACCCAAUUCUGUAUCACUGCAGAAUUUUCUCUAUUUCCCUGCCUCGUACAUGAACUAACACUUCAAGCAGUAUUGUUGAGACCUCUGAUUCCGCAAAGAAAAAGAAUAACAAAGCUGACUUUGCAGAAAGAAGCAAGGCACAAAAAGAGCCAUAGACUACUUGCUGCGCCAAAUCAGCUUUCCUCUGACUGAGGCACUGUGAAAGUGCAAUGCCCUCACAAACCUU